AUACGUAGGGUGCGAGCAUUGUCCGGAAUUACUGGGCGUAAAGAGCUCGUAGGUGGUUUGUCGCGUCGUCUGUGAAAUUCCGGGGCUUAACUCCGGGCGUGCAGGCGAUACGGGCAUAACUUGAGUACUGUAGGGGAGACUGGAAUUCCUGGUGUAGCGGUGAAAUGCGCAGAUAUCAGGAGGAACACCGGUGGCGAAGGCGGGUCUCUGGGCAGUAACUGACGCUGAGGAGCGAAAGCAUGGGUAGCGAACAGGAUUAGAUACCCUGGUAGUCCAUGCCGUAAACGGUGGGCGCUAGGUGUAGGGGUCUUCCACGACUUCUGUGCCGUAGCUAACGCAUUAAGCGCCCCGCCUGGGAAGUACGGCCGCAAGGCUAAAACUCAAAUGAAUUGACGGGG
rnacentral:rRNA from 1 species